UGCUGUCCUGUCCACUACCUUCAGGUUACUAUAUAGAGGAAGCUGUAUCACCUGUCCACUACCUUCAGGUUACUAUAUAGAGGAAGCUGCUGUCCUGUCCACUACCUUCAGGUUACUAUAUAGAGGAAGCUGUAUCACCUGUCCACUACCUUCAGGUUACUAUAUAGAGGAAGCUGCUGUCCUGUCCACUACCUUCAGGUUACUAUAUAGAGGAAGCUGUAUCACCUGUCCACUACCUUCAGGUUACUAUAUAGAGGAAGCUGUAUCACCUGUCCACUACCUUCAGGUUACUAUAUAGAGGAAGCUGUAUCACCUGUCCACUACCUUCAGGUUACUAUAUAGAGGAAGCUGCUGUCCUGUCCACUACCUUCAGGUUACUAUAUAGUGGAAGCUAAGAGAGAGACUCUUGUUUAACCCUUUAGUUGCGUCCCCUCAGCCCUACUUUAUUAAGAAUUAUAUUUUUAUGGGCUUCUUCUGGUCCAUGCUCUAACUCAGGCCCUACAGUCCGCAGGUGUGUGUGAGCUGUGUGUGAGACAGGUGUGUGUGUGAGACAGGUGUGUGUCUGAGACAGGUGUGUGUCUGAGACAGGUGUGUGUGUGAGACAGGUGUGUGUGUGAGACAGGUGUGUGUGUGAGACAGGUGUGUGUGUGUGAGACAGGUGUGUGUGUGUGAGACAGGUGUGUGUGUGAGACAGGUGUGUGUGUGUGUGAGACAGGUGUGUGUGAGACAGGUGUGUGAGCUGUGUGUAAGACAGGUGUGUGUGUGUAAGACAGGUGUGUGUGAGACAGGUGUGUGUGUGUGAGACAGGUGUGUGUGAGCUGUGUGUGAGACAGGUGUGUGUGAGACAGGUGUGUGUGUGAGACAGGUGUGUGAGCUGUGUGUAAGACAGGUGUGUGUGUAAGACAGGUGUGUGUGAGACAGGUGUGUGUGAGACAGGUGUGUAAAGGAGUUAUCUGCAUGCUUCCCAUCCAAAAUAGUUUGUGAAUAUUGUAUAUUUUGUACUUCAUGUGACGUUUAAAGAUAUAAAGAUAAUCACCUGCCUCCAACUAAAUGAAUUUUGAAUUUGGAAUACUUUAGUCUAGGCCAUUUUCUGACUUUGACUUUUAUUUUCUUGGUCCUGUGCCGUUGUUAAUCAAACUAAUAUACGUGUGAACGCACAGGGUUGUUUUCAAUGUCAACCUAUUUUUAUUUAGAAGAAAUGGGGAAUUAUUUUAGUGUGCCAAUACAUUAGAACAUAACUGUAGUUCUCAGAUCUCUGUGGUCAUUAGACCCAACAGCUGUUCAGAAUUAAAUAAAGAUCUACAAACUA